rnacentral:rRNA from 1 species
AUGCGACGGACCCGGACACCCAGGAGCUGCUCGCCAAGCUCGCCGUCAUCGACACCGACGACCAGGGGUGCACCCUCCAGCAAGGCGUCAUCAGACAGCAUGGGCGCCUCUAGAUUGGAGCAAAUUCAGCCCUGCAGACGAAGCUCAUCUCGGCGCUGCACCACAGCGCUGUGGGCGGCCAUCUGGAGCCACAGCGACCUACCACCGCAUCCGCAAGCUAUUCGCAUGGGCCGGCAUGAAGCGCGGGGUCGAAGAUUUCAUGAAGCAGUGCGCCGUGUGCCAGCAUGCCAAGCACGAGCACAUGCACCCGGCAGGCAAGCUCCAACCACUGCCGAUUCUGCAAGAACCAUGGCAGGAGCUGACAAUGGAUUUCGUCGAAGGACUGCCAAAAUCGGAGGGCUACGAUGCCAUUAUGGUCAUCGUCGACCGGCUCACCAAGUACGCACAUUUUGUGCCGCUUCGCCACCCCUUCACGGCAGCUCAGGUCGCCCGCGCGUUCUGGGAACAUAUCAUCAAGCUUCACGGUGUGCCUCAUUCCAUCGUGUCCGAUCGUGA